AUGAAAUUUUUCCGUUUUUUGAAAGGUCGCCGCUAUAAAACGUGAAAUACAAACGUUUCUCGAGAGGCGUACAAUCGGUACGGCGACCCCGAUUUUUUCCGCGAAUUGUUCGAACCACCGCUUUCUCCCUGUCUGUCACUGUUUCUCUUUUUUCUGUUUGUUUCUGUAUGCACGUAUACACCCUCGAUUAAAAGUACGAGGACACUUACCAUUUUCGAUCGCACUUCGUUUGGAAUGCAAAUUAUCGGUAUUAAAUCGCAUUCCCGUUUUCCAAAUUUCAUUUCAACGAAUAAUAACUAUUUCGUUUCGAGUAAAUUUUAUUCCAAGUAAAAUUUGAACGAAUCUGGUUACAAACAAGUAAGUGUUUUCAUAGUUUUGAACGAGGUUGUACAUCUCAUGGUCAGUCAUCUCAUGGUCUCUCUCUCUCUCUCUUUUUCUCUCUUCCUGUCUCCCUCCUUUUUUUAUUUUAUUGGGCUUUUUUAUCGUCCACAAAAUGGUCCCAACGUGUCAUCUCUGUCGUGCAGUUGUGCUCCGAUCCAAAAUGGGUCGAGAGGAAGGACGCGAGCGUCGCUAUUAUAACGCUGUUCGUCGCUACCAAUCAUUUGCAGUUGAAGUUCGGCCAAGUUUCGAUAUAUCAGAGUUGCUUCUCAAUGAGGCGAAGCCAAUACGAGCCGCCAAAAGGGCGGGAGUUGCGCGUCCCCGGCUUAAUUAAGAAUUAAUAGUUGGUCCUACCAUAACAAAUUGGCGGUGCUUUUACGUACAGCGUACUCGUACCCACACGCUAUUUUUCCGACACCACUAAUCCCCUUGCUUUCCCUGAUCUAAUUUAACUUAAUUCGCAUGUGCGUGUAUCUUUGUGUUUUUACACGUAUUGUAUAUGCUAUUGCACGUUGAACGUGUGUUUUCAGAGAAUUAACGGUUUAUUUCGUAUUGGUUUUUGUUUCUAGAAGAUAGUUUGUGCCGUUAAAAUAGAGGAAAAACAUUCUGCUUAAAGUCCCUUUUAGAUAAAACGUAAAAACUUACAUAUUCGUGACAACAAGAAAGCAAGCUGGUAUAAAUACCUGUAUCUUUUACCUGAAAUAUGAAUUUUAUUUCUAGCUUUACGUAACUUAUCUCUUUUCCACUCUUAUAAUUACUUCUGAAAGUCUUUUUUUAAACUAUUUUCUGAACAUUUUAUUGCAUCCUUUUAUUGUAUUUUGUUAAAAUGUUUGUUAAUUCACGAAAUAAAAAUCAGACAGUCAUCGAAUCGUUUCUGAUUAAUAACAGUGUUAUUUAUAGUUAACCAAAUGGUACAGAAGAAAAUUAUGUGAAUUUCUAGCAUGCAUUUCCGUUGAAGAGUAAUAAAACACUUAUCUUACGCAAAUUGACGCAACAUAAAGACUGUUUACUCGAUUUGAAUGCGCAAGCACUCAGAGCGAGGAAAGACUACGCAGAACGGUUGCGUAAUCUAUUUGUCUAUGAAAGAACUAUUGCACGAAAUAGUUAUUUUGUUUCACACUCGCCAGAUUUCUAGCUGCGAAAAUGAAUGAGCACGCGUUGACCCUGUAUGUUGUGUGUCUCUCAUGAGUUUUCCACAUCUCGACGCACGACGGACGUACUCAAGAUGAUCAAAGUUAUCGCGUCACCCUGUAGAUACGUAUAUUCCAUGUACCCUUUUCAAACAUUAUUUACUCGCCGAAAGAAGCAUCUGGACCAUAAAUGAGCGAAAGAAUGCUUAUCGUUGGACGGAUGGAUACGAGCGUGUAUUCAUCAUUUAAUAUUUGGUACGUAUCCCAGUUUGACGAUGAAAAGCCAAACAAAAUAAAACGGUCGCGAUGAAAACAAAUUUUAUAAGAAUUUCCAUCAAGCUUUAAAUCAAUGGCGGAAUGCGAGAGUACCCCAGCUUCGCGUACAUUUGUUCACGUAUAUACAUCGUUGGUGUACUUUGAUCAAAGAAUGCAGAAGAGGGGAUAGGAUGUUCUACAUUCUACGUUUUACGAGAAAAACGAGAGGAAACAAAAUAUAAUAUAUGUAUAUUCGUUUUUGGCACACAGAAUUAAAGGAAGAUUUAUAUAAUUAAA